rnacentral:rRNA from 1 species
CCUACGGUGGGCAGCAGUGAGGAAUAUUGGUCAAUGGGCGGAAGCCUGAACCAGCCAAGUAGCGUGCAGGAUGACGGCCCUACGGGUUGUAAACUGCUUUUAUACGGGAAUAACGCGCCUUACGUGUAGGGCUUUGCAUGUACCGUAUGAAUAAGGACCGGCUAAUUCCGUGCCAGCAGCCGCGGUAAUACGGAAUGCCCGGGCGUUAUCCGGAUUUAUUGGGUUGAAAGGGCGCGGAGACCGCAUGUCAAGCGUGCUGUGAAAUUUCCGGGAACAACCCGGGCCUUGCAGCGCGAACUGGCGGGCUUGAGUCCGCGGAAAGCAGGCGGAAUUCGGCGUGUAGCGGUGAAAUGCUUAGAUAUGACGAAGAACCCCGAUUGCGAAGGCAGCUUGCUGCAGCGGAACUGACGCUGAUGCUCGAAAGCGCGGGUAUCGAACAGGAUUAGAUACCCUAGUAGUC